rnacentral:sRNA from 1 species
CUGUAUGUUUUUUAAACAAAAAAAUGGCCAAAGUAGAUGGAAGUCGAUUUUUUUUUGCUUCCCUUGCGCGAGGUCGGUUUACUUACUAAAAGUAAUGGGUACUAUGUAGCCCGGCUAAUUUCCCACGCUCGGGAAA